rnacentral:rRNA from 1 species
UGGCGGACGGGUGAGUAACGUGUAAAGAACUUACCAUAUAGACUGGGAUAACAGAGGGAAACUUAUGAUAAUACUGGAUAAGUUAGUAGUAGCAUUACUAAGUAAUGAAAGGUAGCAAUACGCUAUAUGAGAGCUUUGCAUCCUAUUAGCUAGUUGGUGGGGUAAAAGCCUACCAAGGCGAUGAUAGGUAGCCGGCCUGAGAGGGUGGACGGCCACAAGGGGACCGAGAUACGGCCCUUACUCCUACGGGAGGCAGCAGGC